AGGAAACAGGGCUGCCAGAUGAGACACUCGGCCCAGGUCACCAGGAAACAGGGCUGCCGGAUGAGACACUCGGCCCAGGUCACCAGGAAACAGGGCUGUUGGAAGAGACACUCGGCCCAGGUCACCAGGAAACAGGGCUGCGGAUGAGACACUCGGCCCAGGUCACCAGGAAACAGGGCUGCCGGAAGAGACACUCGGCCCAGGUCACCAAGAAACAGGGCUGCCAGAUGAGACACUAGGCCCAGAUCACUAGAAAAACAGGGCUGCAGAUGAGACACUCAGCCCGGCCCCCGGAAAGGGAAUCUGACUGAGCAGUGGAGGGAAAUUCACACAGAUUAUCCCGGCCCAACGGCGGCAACAACAUCAACAAAACAAAAAAUACCUGACUGGAAAGCCGAAGCCUGGCUAGCAAAUGCAAAACAGAGCCACAAUCCUAGCAGCACGCAUCACUGCAACACAGAGCUUCAGUCAGCGUCUGUACACUUCAGGUAGAAAUGUAAAAUGUCUGUGUUUUUGGAACAAGGGGGCUAUUUUUGUGGUGUGUGAUGUGUCAUUUUAUAUGGCUGAAUGGAACCUGUGUUUUCAUUAAACAGGUCCUACACAAACGUUUAGUAGAAUCUAAGAAAUGACAUUUCUGAGCCGAUUGAGUUCUUAUCAGAACAUACGAAUAUCCAGCCCUAAGAACAAUAAACAAGCCAUGUGCGAAAGAGCUUUGGGAUUUUCUGUUUCACUGAAUGAAACCUGCGGAUUUUUUGUUUAGUCUUUUAUUUUUUUUUAAUUUUUAAGUUCUGGGGUACACGUGCAGGAUGUGCAGGUUUGUUACAUAGGUAAAUGUGUGCCAUGGUGGUUUGCUGCACCUAUCAACCCAUCACCUAGGUAUUGAGCCCAGCCAGCAUGCAUUAGCUGUUUUUCCUAACACUCUCCCUCCCCUCGCCCCACCCCCAACAGGCCCCAGAGUGUGUUGUUCCCCUCCCUGUGUCCAUGUGUUCUCAUUGUUCAGCUCCCACUUAUAAGUAAGAACACAUGGUGUUUGGUUUUCCGUUUCUGCCUUAGUUUGCUGAGGAUAAUGGCUUCCAGCUCCAUCCAUGUCCCUGCAAAGGACAUGAUCUUGUUCCUUUUGAUGGGUGAAUAGUAUUCCAUGGUGUGUAUGUACCACAUUUUCUUUAGUCUAUCAUUGAUGGGCGUUUGGGUUGAUUCCCUGUCUUUGCUACUGUGAACAGUGCUGCAAUGAACAUACGCGUACAUGUAUCUUUGUAACAUAAUGACUUGUAUUCCUUUGGAUAUAUACCCGGUAAUGGGAUUGCUGAGUCAAAUGGUAUUUCUGGUUCUAGAUCUUUGAGGAAUCGCCACACUGUCUUCCACAACAGUUGAACUAAUUUACAUUCC
rnacentral:lncRNA from 10 species